CCUACGGGGGGCUGCAGUGGGGAAUAUUGGACAAUGGGGGCAACCCUGAUCCAGCCAUGCCGCGUGUGUGAAGAAGGCCCUCGGGUUGUAAAGCACUUUCAGUGAGGAAGAACGCCUGGUGGUUAAUACCCAUCAGGAAAGACAUCACUCACAGAAGAAGCACCGGCUAACUCCGUGCCAGCAGCCGCGGUAAUACGGAGGGUGCGAGCGUUAAUCGGAAUUACUGGGCGUAAAGCGCGCGUAGGUGGCUUGAUAAGCCGGUUGUGAAAGCCCCGGGCUCAACCUGGGAACGGCAUCCGGAACUGGCAAGCUAGGGUGCAGGAGAGGAAGGUAGAAUUCCCGGUGGAGCGGUGAAAUGCGUAGAGAUCGGGAGGAAUACCAGUGGCGAAGGCGGCCUUCUGGACUGACACUGACACUGAGGUGCGAAAGCGUGGGUAGCAAACAGGAUUAGAUACACGGGUAGUC
rnacentral:rRNA from 1 species